GUAGGGAAUCUUCCACAAUGGGACGCAAGUCUGAUGGAGCAACGCCGCGUGAGUGAAGAAGGUCUUCGGAUCGUAAAACUCUGUUGUUAGAGAAGAACACGAGUGAGAGUAACUGUUCAUUCGAUGACGGUAUCUAACCAGCAAGUCACGGCUAACUACGUGCCAG
rnacentral:rRNA from 1 species